AUUGAACGCUGGCGGCAGGCCUAACACAUGCAAGUCGAACGAGUGGCGGACGGGUGAGAAAUGUCUGGGAAACUGCCUGAGGGAGGGGGAUAACUACUGGAAACGGUAGCUAAUACCGCAUACCAUCGGAUGUGCCCAGAUGGGAUUAGCUAGUAGGUGGGGUAACGGCUCACCCAGGCGCCGAUCCCUAGCUGGUCUGCGGGGAUGACCCGCCACACGGUACCUGUGACACGGUCCAGACUCCUACGGGAGGCAGCGGUGGUGAAUAUUGCACAAUGGGCGCAAGCCUGGUGCAGCCAUGCCGCGUGUAUGAAGAAGGCCUUCGGGUUGUAAAGUACUUUCAGCGGGGAGGCGUUACCCGCAGAAGAAGCACCGGCUAACUCCGUGCCAGCAGCCGCGGUAAUUC
rnacentral:rRNA from 1 species